rnacentral:lncRNA from 1 species
UCAUGCCCUAUCCUUCCCGGCACGAACUACACCUACCAUUUCCAGGUGAAGGAUCAGAUCGGAAGCUACUUCUACUACCCAACCACAGCCUUGCAUAGAGCCGCUGGUGGGUUCGGUGGCCUAAGGAUCUUUAGCCGAUUAUUGAUCCCUGUCCCAUACCCCGACCCCGAGGAUGAGUACUGGGUCAUCAUUGGUGACUGGUAUGCUAAGAGCCACAAAACCCUCAAAAGUCUCCUUGACAGUGGUCGCUCAAUUGGAAGGCCUAAUGGUGUUCUUAUCAAUGGCAAAACUGCCAAGGGUGAUGGAAGUGACCAGCCUCUCUACACAAUGAAGCCUGGAAAAACCUACAAGUACAGAAUCUGUAAUGUUGGUCUCAAGGACUCCCUCAACUUCAGGAUCCAAGGCCACCCCAUGAAGCUGGUCGAGACAGAAGGCUCCCACGUUGUCCAGAACACCUAUGACUCCCUCGAUGUCCACGUGGGUCAGUGCUACACUGUCCUCGUGACCGCCGAUAAGGACCCCAAGGACUAUUACUUGGUGGCCUCCACUCGUUUCACCAAGUACUCACUCACCGAAAAGGGAAUCAUCCGCUACACCAACGGCGUGGGACCUGCUUCACCUGAGCUCCCUCCUGCACCUGUUGGUUGGGCAUGGUCUUUGAACCAAUUCCGAUCCUUCCGGUGGAACCUCACCGCUAGUGCCGCCAGGCCUAACCCUCAGGGUUCUUACCAUUACGGUCAAAUCAACAUCACCCGCACCAUCAAGCUCGUUAACACUGUCUCCAAAGCUCAAGGCAAGCUCCGAUACGCAAUCAAUGGUGUCUCCC